CUGUGUGAUGAUACAAUUACAAAUCGAUUAGUCUUUCAGAUAUAUAAUGACGACACUAAUUUUUUUAAGUUUCAGCCUUGUCUGACC
rnacentral:snoRNA from 2 species